GAUGGACGCUGGCGGCGUCCCUAAUACAUGCAAGUCGAGCGAACGGACGAGAAGCUUGCUUCUCUGAUGUUAGCGGCGGACGGGUGAGUAACACGUGGAUAACCUACCUAUAAGACUGGGAUAACUUCGGGAAACCGGAGCUAAUACCGGAUGAUAUUUUGAACCGCAUGGUUCAAAAGUGAAAGACGGUCUUGCUGUCACUUAUAGAUGGAUCCGCGCUGCAUUAGCUAGUUGGUAAGGUAACGGCUUACCAAGGCAACGAUGCAUAGCCGACCUGAGAGGGUGAUCGGCCACACUGGAACUGAGACACGGUCCAGACUCCUACGGGAGGCAGCAGUAGGGAAUCUUCCGCAAUGGGCGAAAGCCUGACGGAGCAACGCCGAGUGAGUGAUGAAGGUCUUCGGAUCGUAAAACUCUGUUAUUAGGGAAGAACAUAUGUGUAAGUAACUGUGCACAUCUUGACGGUACCUAAUCAGAAAGCCACGGCUAACUACGUG
rnacentral:rRNA from 1 species